CUGGGCCUGGAAGGCAAUUAUGAUAACAGUCAGUUUCAGGUCACGUUCUUCCUCCAACUGUGCCAACACUCCUGUACGGAAAAAUAUCUUGCUCAGACCAAUCCGGUACAGGUUGGGGUCCAAGUCUAGAUGUUUGAUCUGAUGGUUAAAAAGUAGAGAGAAGUUUUCAUCAAGGUAUGAUAGGAUGAAAUAAAAUUUCAGUACAAGAAUAUAUAUUUUGCUCAACUCACCAUUAGGGUACAGGCUUGUUUUCCAUCCAUGAACCCUUUAGGAAUAGAGCCGGCAGCUAGGACCUCAUAGCUAAAAAAAAAAAAAAAAAAAAAAAAAAAGAUCAGUAAUUGUAAUCGGUAAUCUUUCUUCAUUAGAAACAUCCAAACUCUAUAUUUGAAAUGAUCACGCAUGUGUUUCAGAAAUUACUCACCGCUGGCGGAACUCGUGAAAGACGAUACGAUUGGGGAAGCCUUGGCGACAGAUGCGGAUUCCUUCCAGUACACCAUUACAGCUCAACUGCUCUAGAACCAGCCCAGGACCUCCAUGGCCUCCAGAGUCUCAACCAACAUCUCAUCAUCUUGCUGGUUUUGUACCUGCACGUGCCCAGCCACCAGGAAACGGUAGUUACCAAAGUCUUCUAGCAAGAGCUCGUCUGUGGAAGAGAAUGAUCGCUAGUGCCACCAUGUAGUAGAAGAUGUGGAAGGAUCUUUCGAUUUUGGCCUGUCGGAUACACCUGGACUUUUCCAGGAGGUCUGGAUUCAUUAAGACAUUAAGACACCCCUUUAGGAGUCCUUGUACCCUAUUUUGAAAACCCCAGUUUGGACCAACUGAAUAAGGUGAAGUUUGAAUGCACUUACAUAAAUGAGACCUGAGAAAUACCUCUCCCUGAGGUUGUGCAGCACUGAGGCCUCAUUCAAGCAGCUCAACCACCACCUCGUUCCCCGUCUCUUCUUUGAUGCUGGCUGACUGAAAACCUUCCUUUUCUGAGGGUAUCCACACCAUCUUUUUGGUAGACCAAUCGGCCUGGGCCACCCCAGUGUUUUUGAAGUCAUUGUCAAGAAACAGAAACUUGC